ensembl:lncRNA
GGAAUUCCCUCCCAUCUUCUUCCCCACAGAGCAGCUCUCAGUGCAGAUGGGCUAGGCCUUCUCAGCCCGGGGAGGCCUUCAAGCUGGGGCCCCUUGCCAGUCCAGAGCCUCCCAGUGAGUGGCUCGGCCCAGAGCAGGAGGAGCUGCAGUGCUCGUGCUCACGCCUUUGUCUUAGCUGCCUGCAAAAGAGAACGGCUUCAGAAGGGAAAGGCCUUCAAGACCUUGGGCUCUUUUUCUCUCCAGUUGUACAGAGAUAUGAUGGGCUGGCCUGGCUUCAAACAUGGCUUCAAAGAGAAAAACUGCAUUGGAACCUGUGACAACACCAACCACAGAUUAGGAAGCUCUCCAGCCAGAUAGCACUAUGUCUGGCCAGAGGUAGGGAGCCAGCUGGGCCAGCAGCACCUCCUCAGGACUGGGGCAGGAGUCAGGCUGCCCCCAAGUCAAGGGUCGCAGUGGGAAAGUCAUAGAAAAACAGAAGACAAAUCUCUGGUUAGAUUAAUGAAAUUUAAGGACACAGGCCACAGGAGCAGUGGAAUGUCAUCGUGGAGACCCAGUCAGAUAAUGUGGGAAGUGGGGGACGAUGUGGACAUGUUGGCAAAAUCAAACACCUUCACAAGCCAACGUGGGUCCUAUACAUAAAAUGGCAACAGCGACAAUUACAACAAUAAUCAGCAGAGGGAAGGGUCGGAAGCAAACAGCAGAUAGAAGGUGCAUCGCAAAGGGAAUGAGCCAAAACCAGGAGGACUCUAGACCAAAAAACCCAAACAGAACUCUAUAGAGGCAAAGAAAUUCCGGAAAACACGAUUUCUCAAAACCAAAGAGAAUUUAAAGAAGAGAUGUAGGGCUCAAAGAAGAGGUCAUAAGAAAACAGAAGGAAAUGAAAGGAAGAUAGCAGAAGAGAAAAAUAGAAAUAUUACUAAGAGGAAGGCCACGCUGAGAGCAGGAACAACUUGAGUAAAUAUGAGCAAGGAGGCCACAUACGGCCAUCUGGGGACACGGUGACAAGGCUUGAAGAAGUCACACCAUACAAAGUGGGAGGGAGCAGAGGACUGGAGAGAAGAUAGCAAAGGAGAUGCAAUAUAUAUAGCAUUGAUCUUCCUGGAAAAGAGAACAAUAAAGAGGAGAAAAUUCUCCUGGGAGGAAUCAUGCUGCUUUCAGCCGCUCCACAUGAACCGCUGCUGAACACAGUGGGCAAGGCCACUCAGCUUCUCAGGACAAGACAAUUCGUUCCAAGGAUAUUAUGUCCAUCCAGCUUGUCCUUCAAGUCUAAAAGCAGAAAGUCAAAAUUCCCAUUGGACAGUACGGCUAGCCAACGAAAAGCUGACUCGAAAUAAAGAACUUAGAAAUGGAAGCACAGUCCUGAGCAUUGAACCCACUGAUAUGCAGGGCUAACAUCACACGACUGUGGGGUUGCUUCGGUCUGCCUCAGGACAGAGUGCAAACCAUAACGGCCUUGACAAUAGAAAAGGAAUAAUCUAACAAAAACCAGAGUUGUCUCAUGGCAGUCUCUAUCUCCAGCUCAAUUAUUUAUUUGAGAAGCAUUUGCUGUGCGCCUCCUGUGUGCAGUUGAGAUGGUAGGAGUUUCCCAAUAGCCUGGCGAGGGGCGUGGGCUUGUGGAUGAGGAAGAGAGAGGAGUCAAGGAAGAUGUGGAGGCUUCCAGCCUGGGCAACUGGCUCGCCGAGAGGCCCCUGAGAAAAGCUGAGACCCCACCGGGUACGAGGUAACUCUCUGUGGCUUCCAGUCAAAGCCAAGAAUGAUCUAGCCCUUCCUGUUCUGGGAACCGUGCUGUUUCCUAGACAACGCGUUUUGUGUAAUCAUGGUCAAGGCAACGUACAUUUCUGCUCAGAAUCAAGGUCACAGUAUAAUACCAAUUCACCAAGGCAACAGCAGAC